rnacentral:rRNA from 1 species
UCUGGUUGAUCCUGCCUGAACUGAUGUGUUUAUUUCAAAGAUUAAGCCAUGCAUGUAUAAGUUUAAUCGUUUAUCGAGAAACCGCGAACGGCUCAUUACAAUGGCCAUUAUUUACUUGAUCUUGAUUGUCUAAAUGGAUAACUGUGGAAAAGCUAGAGCUAAUACAUGCACUAAAGCUUUGUCCUUACGGAAAAGCGCAUUUAUUAGAACAAAACCACGCGGCUUCGGCUGCUUCUUGUUGACUCAGAAUAACUUAGCUGACCGCAUGGCCUUGUGCCGGCGGCGUGUCUUUCAAGCGUCCACUUUAUCAACUUGACGGAGCAUAAUCGACUCCCGUGGUGGUGACGGAUAACGGAGGAUCAGGGUUCGACUCCGGAGAAGGGGCCUGAGAAAUGGCCACUACGUCUAAGGAUGGCAGCAGGCGCGCAAAUUACCCACUCUCGGCUCGAGGAGGUAGUGACGAGAAAUAACGAGACUGUUCUCUUUGAGGCCGGUCAUCGGAAUGGUACAAUUUAAACCCUUUAACGAGUAUCAAGCAGAGGGCAAGUCUGGUGCCAGCAGCCGCGGUAAUUCCAGCUCUGCAAUACAUAGAAUUAUUGCUGCGGUUAGAAAGCUCAUAGUUGGAUUCGUAUCGAUACCUUGGAACCUUCGGUGUCUCUAGGUGUUAUCGAUUUAUCGUAAUGUUCGGUUUUGAGUCCUUAACAGGAUUCUUAACAGGCAUUGCAAGUUUACUUUGAACAAAUCAGAGUGCUUCAAACAGGCGUUUUCGCUUGAAUGAUCGUGCAUGGAAUAAUAGAAAAUGAUUUCGGUUCAGUUUUAUUGGUUUACGGACUGAGAUAAUGGUUAACAGAGACAAACGGGGGCAUUUGUAUGGUCCCGUGAGAGGUGAAAUUCUUGGACCGUGGCCAGACAAACUACAGCGAAAGCAUUUGCCAAGAAUGUUUUUAUUAAUCAAGAACGAAAGUCAGAGGUUCGAAGGCGAUCAGAUACCGCCCUAGUUCUGACCGUAAACGAUGCCAACUAGCGAUCCGCCGAUGGAAAUUAUAUUGCCUUGGUGGGAGCUUCCGGAAACGAAAGUCUUCCGGUUCCGGGGAAGUAUGGUUGCAAAGCUGAAACUUAAAGGAAUUGACGGAAGGGCACCACCAGGAGUGGAGCCUGCGGCUUAAUUUGACUCAACACGGGAAACUCACCGGCCCGGACACUUUUGGUCUACCUCAGGCAAAGUAGACCAAAGUGCAAUUGACCAAGUGUCGUAGGGUUCAGGCAAUAGGGUUCCCCAGGCAAUCAAAUUUCACCAGGCAUUUUUGGUUUAGAGUCUGUGACGAUCCGAUUAAAAAUUGCCUCAGGCAAAGUAGACCAAAGUGCAAUUGACCAAGUGUCGUAGGGUUCAGGCAAUAGGGUUCCCCAGGCAAUCAAAUUUCACCAGGCAUUUUUGGUUUAGAGUCUGUGACGAUCCGAUUAAAAUUGCCUCAGGCAAAGUAGACCAAAGUGCAAUUGACCAAGUGUCGUAGGUUCAGGCAAUAGGGUUCCCCAUUAAAAAUUGCCUCAGGCAAAGUAGACCAAAGUGCAAUUGACCAAGUGUCGUAGGGUUCAGGCAAUAGGGUUCCCCAGGCAUCAAAUUUCACCAGGCAUUUUUGGUUUAGAGUCUGUGACGAUCCGAUUAAAAUUGCCUCAGGCAAAGUAGACCAAAGUGCAAUU